GCGAGCGAAAGCGGAUCAGCCCAAACCAGAGUGAUUUAUCACGCUGGGGUUGUAGGACUAUAAUGUGAGAAGCAACGGAUAGACGAAUACCUUGGAAAGGGUAACCAUAGAGGGUGACAGUCCCGUAGUUGAAAUCCCGCGCCGAUCUAAUAGUAUCCUGAGUAGCACCGGACACGUGAAACCCGGUGUGAAUCUGCGCCGACCACGGCGUAAGGCUAAAUACAAGAUGACGACCGACAGUGAACUAGUACCGCGAGGGAAAGGUGAAAAGCACCCCUGUUAGGGGAGUGAAAUAGUAACUGAAACCGAUGGCUAACAAAUCAGUAGGAGCCGCCUUGUGCGGUGACUGCCUGCCUUUUGUAUAAUGAGUCUGCGAGUUUAUGUCCGUAGCAAGCCUAAGCUGCUAAGCAGUGGAGGCGUAGCGAAAGCGAGUCUGAAUAGGGCGAUUGAGUUGCUGGCAUAAGACCCGAAGGGGAGGUGAUCUUACCAUGACCAGGUUGAAGCGUUAGUAAAAUAACGUGGAGGACCGAACCGGUGUAGCUUGAGAACUGCUCGGAUGAGUUGUGGUAAGGAGUGAAAGGCUAAUCAAACCCCCUGAUAGCUGGUUCUUUCCGAAAUAUAUUGAGGUAUAGCGUCGAGCGCUGACCUGUGGAGGUAGAGCACUGAAUAAGCUAGGGCCCCUACCGGGGUACUGAACUUUAUCAAACUCCGAAUGCCACAGGGUGAAGCUCGGCAGUCAGACUUAGGGUGCUAACGUCCUAAGUCGAGAGGGCAACAACCCAGACCAUCAGUUAAGGUCCCUAAAUGUGGCUCAGUGGUAAAGGAUGUGAUUUUACUUAGACAAUGGGGAUGUUGGCUUAGAGGCAGCCAUCAUUUAAACAGUGCGUAACAGCUGACCCAUCGAGUGAAAUUGCGCCGAAAAUGAUCGGGACUUAAGCCACAUACCGAAGCUAUGGAUUUCAGUUCCUCGGAACUGGAGUAGUAGGAAAGCGUUCCAAGUGCAGUGAAGGAGAAGGGGCAACCGACUCUGGAGCGCUUGGAAGUGAGAAUGCAGACAUGAGUAACGAUAAAGAUGGUUAAAGUCCAUCUCGCCGUAAGGAUAAGGUUUCCUGGGGAAGGCUCGUCCUCCCAGGGUUAGUCGGGAGCUAAGAUGAGGCCGUAAGGAGUAAUCGAUGCACAGAAGGUUAAUAUUCCUUCACCGGCUUGCAACUAUUCCCAGAGUGCGGAUCGACGGACCCUACAGACCUGUUUUGACAAGGCACUGCAAAGCUACGGCUGCGUGGGUGUAGGGAAAGAAGGUUCCAAGAAAAGCUCUGGAAUUACUAUGCAGGUCGCUCGUACCGCAAACCGACACAGGUAUCCGGGAUGAGUAUUCUAAGGCGCGCGAGUUAAAUCUCUCUAAGGAACUCGGCAAAUUGGCCCCGUAUCUUCGGUAUAAGGGGUGCCCCUCUAGGGGGGUCGCAGUUAAUAGCGUCAACCGACUGUUUAGCAAAAACACAGCUCUCUGCAAAGUCGCAAGACGACGUAUAGGGAGUGACACGUGACCAAUGCGAAAAGGUGAACGCCUGGGGUGCAAGCUCCGGGUCUAAGCCCUCGUGAAUGUCGGCCGUAACUAUAACGGUCCUAAGGUAGCGAAAUUCCUUGUCGGGUAAGUUCCGACCCGCACGAAUCGUGUAACGAGUUGACGACUGUCUCGGAGAGACGCUCGGUGAAAUUGUAGUAGCGGUUAAGAUGCCGCUUACCCGCAGCAGGACGGAAAGACCCUAUGCACCUUUACUGUAAGCUGUUAUUGUCGCUUGAUCUUCAUUGCGUAGAAUAGGUGGGAGACGUUGAUCCUUCGUUCCAGGACGAAGGCUAGUCGUAAUGUGAAAUACCACUCUUUGUUGGUUAGGCGUCUAACCUCUUUCCAUUAUCUGGAGGAGGGACAGUGAUAGCAGGUCAGUUUUACUGGGGCGGUAUCCUCCUAAAAAGUAACGGAGGAUUUCGAAGGUUCCCUCAGCCCGGUCGGUAAUCGGGCUAUAGAGCGCAAGAGUAUAAGGGAGCUUUACUGUGAGACCUACAAGUCGAGCAGUUGCGAAAGCAGGAUCUAGUGAUCCGGUGGUUGAAAGUGGAAUCGCCAUCGCUCAUAGGACAAAAGGUACGCUAGGGAUAACAGGCUGAUCGCGCCCAAGCGUUCACAGCGACGGCGCGGUUUGGCACCUCGAUGUCGGAGAUCGGAAGAGCGUCGUGUAGGGAAAGAGUGU
rnacentral:rRNA from 1 species